rnacentral:rRNA from 1 species
CCUACGGGGGGCAGCAGUGGGGAAUAUUGCGCAAUGGGCGAAAGCCUGACGCAGCGACGCCGCGUGAGGGAUGAAGGUCUUCGGAUCGGAAACCUCUGUCAGCAGGGAAGAACGGUCACGGUGCUAAUCAGCAGUGAAUUGACGGUACCUGCAAAGGAAGCACAGGCUCACUCCGGGCCAGCAGCCGCGGUAAUACGGAGGGUGCGAGCGUUAAUCGGAAUUACUGGGCGGAAAGCGCACGUAGGCGGUAUGUCAAGUCAAGGGUGAAAUCCCCGCGCUCAACGUGGGAACUGCCUUUGAAACUGGCAACCUUGAGUGUGUGAGAGGAUAGUGGAAUUCCAGGUGUAGUCGU